AUUGAACGCUGGCGGCAUGCCUUACACAUGCAAGUCGAACGGCAGCACGGGAGCAAUCCUGGUGGCGAGUGGCGAACGGGUGAGUAAUAUAUCGGAACGUGCCCAGUAGUGGGGGAUAACUGCUCGAAAGAGCAGCUAAUACCGCAUACGACCUGAGGGUGAAAGGGGGGGAUCGCAAGACCUCUCGCUAUUGGAGCGGCCGAUAUCAGAUUAGCUAGUUGGUGGGGUAAAGGCCUACCAAGGCAACGAUCUGUAGUUGGUCUGAGAGGACGACCAGCCACACUGGGACUGAGACACGGCCCAGACUACUACGGGAGGCAGCAGUGGGGAAUUUUGGACAAUGGGCGCAAGCCUGAUCCAGCAAUGCCGCGUGCAGGAAGAAGGCCUUCGGGUUGUAAACUGCUUUUGUCAGGGAGGAAAUCCUCUAGGUUAAUACCCUUGGGGGGAUGACGGUACCUGAAGAAUAAGCACCGGCUAACUACGUGCCAGCCGCCGCGGUAAUAC
rnacentral:rRNA from 1 species